rnacentral:rRNA from 1 species
UACGAAGGGGGCUAGCGUUGCUCGGAAUCACUGGGCGUAAAGGGUGCGUAGGUGGCGCUGUAAGUCGGGUGUGAAAUUUCGGAGCUUAACUCCGAAACUGCAUUCGAUACUGCGGUGCUCGAGGACUGGAGAGGAGACUGGAAUUCAUGGUGUAGCAGUGAAAUGCGUAGAGAUCAUGAGGAAGACCAGUGGCGAAGGCGGGUCUCUGGACAGUUCCUGACACUGAGGCACGAAGGCCAGGGGAGCAAACGGG